UACGUAGGGUGCAAGCGUUAUCCGGAAUUAUUGGGCGUAAAGAGCUCGUAGGCGGUUUGUCGCGUCUGCUGUGAAAACUGGGGGCUCAACCCCCAGCCUGCAGUGGGUACGGGCAGACUAGAGUGUGGUAGGGGAGACUGGAAUUCCUGGUGUAGCGGUGAAAUGCGCAGAUAUCAGGAGGAACACCGAUGGCGAAGGCAGGUCUCUGGGCCACUACUGACGCUGAGGAGCGAAAGCAUGGGGGAGC
rnacentral:rRNA from 1 species